AACGGAUGUGUUAAAAUAAAAUGGAAAUCUACAAGUUAACUGUUUGUGUAAAAUAUUACAAAUGACUGGUUCGAAAUUAUCAAAAUCGUAUUUCUAGUCUAAUAUAGCAUGGUCAAAGCUUUUACGCAUCUAUUAAUACUAGAACCUGAUUCGUUUAGAGAAAGUUAUGUCAACAACGUUAAGACCGUUAAAAUACAUGAUAUGACAUUUACUUCGACAAAUGGAUUCAUGCAGUUUCAGAUCCAGAUCAGUCGAUUACGAAGGGAUCUCGUUUUAAAUAUAGACAAAAAUCACUUACCAUUCAACUAAUGACUAAAUUAAUUCAAAGUGAUUGUUAUGAUUUACUAUAUGAUUUCGUAGAAGAAACGGUUUUGAUGCAGCAAUGAUAAUAUUCAACAGUUAUCCCUUAUGUCUAUUGAAAAACGAUCAAACUAAUUUUGUUUUAUCGAUAAUUCGUACAGCAUUGUUCGAAAACAUUCAAAUCAGAUAAAACGCUUCUUUUGAAAGCAAACCACUUGUCAAAGAUAAUGGUGUUUUUAGGAUUCGAUAAAAUACAUCAUGAUGAAUAAGUAAACGCCAGCUCACCGAACACGAAAAACAUAAUCAACGAUAUUGAAGAU